UAGCUCAGACAGUAAAGCGUCUGCCUGCAAUGCAGGAGACCCAGGUUCGAUCCCUGG
rnacentral:tRNA from 1 species